rnacentral:rRNA from 1 species
UUUGGAAAGUUUGAUCCUGGCUCAGGACGAACGCUGGCGGCGUGCUUAACACAUGCAAGUCGAACGGGAUCCUGCUUGGUUUUUGCUGGGUGGGUGAGAGUGGCGAACGGGUGAGUAAUGCGUGACUAACCUGCCGUGUAGUUGGGUAUAGCUCCUGGAAACGGGUGGUAAUACCGAAUGGUCCACUGGGCUGCAUGGUCUGGUGGGAAAGUUUUGUGUGCUAUGCGAUGGGGUCGCGUCCUAUCAGCUUGUUGGUGGGGUGAUGGCCUACCAAGGCUUCGACGGGUAGCCGGCCUAAGAGGGCGACCGGCCACAUUGGGACUGAGAUACGGCCCAGACUCCUACGGGAGGCAGCAGUGGGGAAUAUUGCACAAUGGGGGGAACCCUGAUGCAGCGACGCCGCGUGCGGGAUGGAGGCCUUCGGGUUGUGAACCGCUUUUAUUGGGGAGCAAGCUGCCCUGUGUGGGUUGGUGAGUGUACUUGGUGAAUAAGCACCGGCUAACUACGUGCCAGCAGCCGCGGUAAUAA